rnacentral:rRNA from 1 species
CGGUUGAUCCUGCCGGAGGCCACCGCUAUUGGAAUUCGAUUAAGCCAUGCGAGUCGAGAGGGUUCGGCCCUCGGCAUACGGCUCAGUAACACGCGAACAAUCUACCCUGAGGUGGGGGAUAACCCCUGGGAAACUGGGAACAAUACCCCAUAGGUCAUGUAUGCUGGAAUGCUUCAUGACUCAAAUGCUCCGGCGCCUCAGGAUGAGUUUGUGGCCUAUCAGGUUGUAGUGGGUGUAAGGGACCCACUAGCCGUCGACGGGUACGGGCUGUGAGAGCAGUUGCCCGGAGAUGGAUUCUGAGACACGAAUCCAGGCCCUACGGGGCGCAGCAGGCGCGAAAACUUCGCAAUGUGGGAAACCACGACGAGGGAAUUCCAAGUGCCAGGGCAAAGCUCUGGCUGUUCAAAUACCUAAAAAGUAUCUGAAGUAAGAGCUGGGUAAGACGGGUGCCAGCCGCCGCGGUAAUACCCGCAGCUCGAGUGGUGGUCGCUAUUAUUGAGCCUAGAGCGUCCGUAGCCGGUCUGGUAAAUCCUUGGGGAAAUCGAGCAGCUUAACUGUUCGAAGACCGGGGAGACUGCCAGACUUGGGACUGGGGGAGGUCAGAGGUACUCCGGGAGUAGGGGUGAAAUCCUAUGAUCCUCGGGGGACCACCAGUGGCGAAGGCGUCUGACUAAAACAGAUCCGACGGUAAGGGACGAAACCCUGGGGCGCGAACGGGAUUAGAUACCCCGGUAGUCCAGGGCGCAAACGCUGCAGGCUUGGUGUU